rnacentral:rRNA from 1 species
CCCUACGGGGUGCACCAGGCGCGAAACCUCCACAAUGCGCGAAAGCGUGAUGGGGGGAUUCCGAGUGCUUACAUUUUAUGUAAGCUUUUGCCAAGAGUUCACAUCUUGGAGAAUAAGUGGUGGGAAAGACCGGUGCCAGCAGCCGCGGUAA